rnacentral:rRNA from 1 species
AUUGAACGCUGGCGGCAGGCCUAACACAUGCAAGUCGAGCGGAUGAAGGGAGCUUGCUCCUGGAUUCAGCGGCGGACGGGUGAGUAAUGCCUAGGAAUCUGCCUGGUAGUGGGGGGUAACGUCCGGAAACGGGCGCUAAUACCGCAUACGUCCUGAGGGAGAAAGUGGGGGAUCUUCGGACCUCACGCUAUCAGAUGAGCCUAGGUCGGAUUAGCUAGUCGGUGGGGUAAAGGCCUACCAAGGCGACGAUCCGUAACUGGUCUGAGAGGAUGAUCAGUCACACUGGAACUGAGACACGGUCCAGACUCCUACGGGAGGCAGCAGUGGGGAAUAUUGGACAAUGGGCGAAAGCCUGAUCCAGCCAUGCCGCGUGUGUGAAGAAGGUCUUCGGAUUGUAAAGCACUUUAAGUUGGGAGGAAGGGCAGUAAGUUAAUACCUUGCUGUUUUGACGUUACCAACAGAAUAAGCACCGGCUAACUUCGUG